GCCUGCCUGCAGAACUUUCCCUGCUAAAAUGACAUCUCCUUCCAUUUUCUUCAGCUUAUGGUUAACUGUGUCUAUUAUUUCAUAUCUUGCAGAACUAUAAUUUGAAGGAAACGGAAGGAGCUGACAUUUUGGCAGGGAAUGUUCUGCAGGCUU